AGGGCCAGUCCCGGGGUGUGCAAGGGAGGCACGCGCGCCUCUCCCGACUGCGGGAGACGGGAGAGGACUGGUCGCUGGAGUCCGUGACCCUCUGUCUUCUCCCAGGGCCACAGAGGUGGUGGAUGCUGUCAACCCUGGGUUUCUUCCUUGGUCCCAGAUGCUACCUGUGUGACAACAGAUGAAAACCCACAUGGCGGAGCUCUGGGGGGCACUUAGGAGUGCACAGUGCCGCCUGACGUUCCUCGUGAUUCAAACAUUAGCUGCUGUUGAUACGACUUCAGAACAGGCUCCACAGAGAAUGGUGCCAACCCCAAGAUCCACACCACUUGAGAGAGAAGAGCCUCUACCCUGAAGCUAUCACCCUGCAGUGAGGAAGGCCACCAGCCAGAAAGGAGCUGCAGAUCCCCCUGGGUCUGUCCUCGGAAGACUUCACAGGCACUGAUGGCAGUCCCUGGAAUCAGAGUCUGUACAUGAGAACACAACUCUCAGUGGGGCUCAGGAGCCAACCCAGGCCCCUAAGCUGACCCCCACACUACUGACCCCUAAGAUUGGCAGGAUCCCAUACUGGAGUGGCUGUGAAAUGGCACUGGAGGGCUGACCAGGAUAGUCAUAAGCUUCCUGGGGGGGGGGGGGGGGGGUCACUUCUGAGCAGCAGCUGAAAAUUAUAGGUAAUAAAUUAAACAUUUUGAGUAUUUGACGGAAGCCAUACACUCUCUUCCUAGAAACAUGCACAUAUAACAUACCCAUGAACUUCUGGCAGAGUGGGGCCCUGAGCAGCAGUUCUUGACAAUUUUGAAUCACUAAAACAGUGACCAUUUCGAAAAGCUAACAAAAGCCAUGAAUUCUCAUGUUAGACAUAUGCAAAGACCCAGACAAUUCCGCAUGUAUCUCAGCCAGCCAAUGAAGACUGCAAACCAUCUGUGGGACUCAGAUUAGGAUCAGGCUAGAGGUGGCUCAGAAUGUUUAUUUCCUAGUUACCUGACACUGAAGACUAUGUGCUCAGGAUGGGAGGACAAGGCCCGAGGAUACAGAGGAGCCUAAGCCUGAGAAAGCAGCAGGCAGUCACCUACCCUGGCAACGCUCCCUGGAUCCUUUCCUUCUAGGCGGGUCAUACAGCUGGGUUGCCUAUCAUUCUGGCUAUCAGGUCAGAGAUGGUUGUAGACUUAGAAACUUAGUCACCCAGUUAACUAAGCAGAGAGUGAAGUGAAAGAAGUAUAAUAAUCAUUGUUUAGUCAUGUGCAGUUAGGCAAAUAGCUGAGAUCCAGUGUCAUUCUGUCACACCACCAAACAGGUAAGCAAACUGUGACCUGUGGAGAGCACUGAAAAGAUGAGAAUGCUCUUCAUCAAGUGCAUCACUGCAUGCAACAGUGCAAAAACCCUGUCAACAGACCUCUUUUGUGCCUGUGGUAGCGUGAAGAGCAUGAAGCAGCACGUAUACAGAAAACCUAAUUUCUCUAGGAUCCCAAAUGAUCCUCCCAUUUGUUGAAACAACAGUUCAGAGACAGUUAAGAAAGAUCCAUAAGGCAAGGAGCAUUAAUGUCUAGGGCUCAGACAACAUUCUCUAGUGGAUGAAGUGGUGUUGGGGAGUGUCCCCUGGACAUGUGCCAGCAAAGAGGCCUGAGUCCCGUAUCACUAGGACUGUGUCUUUGAGUUUCCCAAGAAUGACUCUAAGCCAGUUGACUGAGUUGGUUAUACUUUGGGGGUACCUCACUGAGAUGAAAUUAAAUGCUUUAUCAGAAUUUUAAAUUAUUUAAGGGGGCUUAAAAUUCUAAAUAUUUUAAGGAAAACUUAAAAUUUGGGGGAAAAAAUGAAUAAAGAACUUCCUCUAUAAUGUAAACUAUUACAAAGGCGAAUUAAACAUUAUCAUGAUCAGAACAGGGAAAAUAGUUUGGUAAAAGCAAAACGUUAUCAGAAACACAUAGUAAAAGUAUAGGAGCCAAUUUCAAUGAACUUCUGCUGGCUUAUCUCAGAUGAUGUGAGUGUCAAAAAACCACCCGUUAAGGAUUAUAACCCACUAAAGGAAUAAUCUGAGUCUAUACAGACAUAAAUUUCAAACUCUGGAGAAAGGAAAAUCCUUCCACAGCAGGAUAAGCACAGGAGCAAUAACAGAACAAGAACAGAAAAUGCUUUUGCAAUUAUAGUAAUAAUUGAUUUGAGCAGUGAUUAGAAAUAAAUGCUAAAAAAUUAGCAUUA